rnacentral:lncRNA from 1 species
CGGGAAGCUCGUUAGAAACAAACGACCGUUGCGCGCUCGCGAUCGUGCGCGCGCAGGAGCGUCUGUUUGCUAGCUGAGAGGAAACAUGAUGCUACCGUUCCCACAAACUUUCAGGACCCAUGAAGUUCUCCAGAGAACGUUAUAAGCAAGCAGUGCGCUCGCGUGACGCUCAUUGAGGCCGGGGACGGUUUAGUUUAGAGCACGUCAGGAAUCCGCUCCAGGGCCCGUGGGUUGUGGAUUAUUCUGGUUGUUCGCGGCCUUGGGUCAAACUACCGCCGCAAGUGUGACAGACGAGACGCAAGGGAUAACGUCGCUUUCUUCACGUCAACGAGGAGCCGGUGGUGUCAGACGCCUGCAGCUGAUGGUGGGAUGCUAAUUAACGCUAGAAGGACCUCAUUGGUGCUGACGUGCUGGAGCUUCUGUUGCUCCGGUGACAUUUGCCACAGGAACAGACGACAGACCCUGAGAUGA